rnacentral:rRNA from 1 species
UACGGGGGGGGCAAGCGUUGUCCGGAAUCAUUGGGCGUAAAGGGCGCGUAGGUGGCCUGGUCAGCGUGCGGUGAAAGCUCGGGGCUCAACCCCGAGUCGGCCGUGCGAACUGCUGGGCGUGAGCACUGUAGAGGCAGGCGGAAUUCCGGGUGUAGCGGUGGAAUGCGUAGAGAUCCGGAAGAACACCGGUGGCGAAGGCGGCCUGCUGGGCAGUAGCUGACACUGAGGCGCGACAGCGUGGGGAGCAAACAGG